ensembl:lncRNA
AUGACCGGGGGGCCUGUGGGGGAGCACAUGGGAAGAGAGAGCCUCAGCCCUGAGGUCCCUCUACAGUUCUUCCUGCCAUCUGCCCUCUGGAAUAGGGGAACUGAAACAGCCCUAACCCCUGUACCUAACGCAAGUUCCUUCUCUUCCCCAGACCAGAUCCCCUUCCCACCAGGGACAACCCAAUUCACCCGGACUCCCCCGCCUAGAACCUGCAUGUGCGUGUGCCCAACACCUCACCAGCGGAUACAGCACGAUCCCCGACCGAGGCUCCCCCGUCUGGCCACUCCAGCGGCCAUUCGCACAGAGACACCCCCUUCGGCCAGAACACAACGCUUCUGUUCAAGAACUCACAACUCCUGGGGCGCCUGGGUGGCUCAGUCGGUUGAGCGACCGACUUUGGCUUAGGUCAUGAUCUCACGGUUUGGGAGUUCGAGCCCCAUAUCGGGCUGUGUGCUGGCAGCUCGGAGCCUGAGCCUGCUUGGGAGUCUGUGUCUCCCUCUCUCUCUGCUCCUCCCCCACCCAUGCUCUCUCUCUGUCUCCGAAAUAAAUAAACAUUAAAAAAAAUCUUUUUUUCAAGAACUCACAACUCCUGGCUCCCACCACAGCAAGCUCGAACUUCUCGAUCCAGCCUCGUGGCACUCGGGAUCCAACCCCUCCCGGCCCGGCCAACCGUCUUUUCAUGCGCCAACCCUUAAGAACCCUUUCAGCUCAUUGUGGGCGUGUCGUGUCCCGGGCCGGCUGCACGCCUUUGCUCUCCGAAACCCCGUCUGGAACGCUCUUCCCAUGGCGUCUGGCCAGGCCGCAUCAUCCCUGCAAAUCCGUCUCUCCCUUCUACCGCCCCACUGCUCUCCUCCCCUCCCCGGCUCUGCUGCCUGGGUCGUCGGGAAUAGGAGGUGACGAUCCGAGCCGGGGGGCCUAUAGAACACGACAGACACGCGGGGCGCUCCGCUGAGCACCUCCCUGCAACCAUUUCUUUAAUCCUCACAAGAGCCUUCUGUGCCAGGAAUUACUGUCUCCACAGAUGAAGCAGUGGAGGCCGAGAGGCAGAGAGAAGUGAGGGCCCAAAGUUAGCAGGGUAGGUAAGACUCGUUCAGGCCUUCCUGACCCUGGCGGGCUUGGCCCUUAACAGUUCCUCAGCGCUGCCUUCCCACAGAACCAGGGAAAAGUGACACUUCGCUAACUCAUCUGCCUUCCCUUUAGAAGAGGCUCUCCGAAGGCAGAGUCCAGGCCGUCUCUUAGCUUCCUUCUAGACGGAAAGGUCUCGGACAGGAGUUACUAAGUGCUGAUCACUGUACUCACCUGAACCUGAUUAAAUUCUUAACCUAGUCCUAAAAUGUAGAUAUGAACCUCUUUAUAUAUAGAUGAGAACCUGGGGGGCUGGGGGGGGGUUACACCCACACUGCUGGCCCUAAAUAUCUACUCAUCCAUUCACUGCUCCGUUUAAAAUUAAGAUGCUGGUUUUUAGAGGGGCGCCUGGGUGGCUCAGGAGGUUAAGCGUCCGACUUCGGCUCAGGUCAUGAGCUCACGGUUGGGGAGUUCGAGCCCCCCAUCUGGCUCACUGCUGUCAGCGCAGAGCUCACUUUGGAUUCUCUGUUCCCCUCUCUCUGCCCCUCCCCUGCCCUGAACUCUCUCAAAACUAAAUACAACAUUAAAAAAAUUAGAGAGAGAGAGAGAGAGAUGUGGUUUUUAGAGCACCAGCCUGCAUUGGUAGCUCCCUUUCUCUCCACGCCCCUGUGUCCUCUCCUGCUACGUGCACCCCCAGCCACAGGUCAGAGCCCCCCAUACAGGUCCCUAGUUCCGGCCCGCAGCACCCCCACCAGAGCACCUAGCACCAGCAGCUGGGUGGCGUGGGAGGCACUGCCCUCGGUGCUGGAGGCUUGACAGGUGUAGACCCCAGAGCUGCGGCGUUCCACCCGCCGGAUCCACAGCGUCCCAUUCUGCACCUAGGGUAGGAGGGGAUGAGGAAGGUUCCUCCUGCCCCCCCCCCCCCCCCCCCCCCCUGCCUCCCCUUCCCUCCCUCCCGCGGGCCUCAGACCCUGCACUUCCGAGUCUGGCCGG